rnacentral:rRNA from 1 species
UACGAAGGGGGCUAGCGUUGCUCGGAAUUACUGGGCGUAAAGGGCGCGUAGGCGGAUCGUUAAGUCAGAGGUGAAAGCCCAGGGCUCAACCCUGGAACUGCCUUCGAUACUGGAAGACUUGAGUCCGGGAGAGGUGAGUGGAACUGCGAGUGUAGAGGUGAAAUUCGUAGAUAUUCGCAAGAACACCAGUGGCGAAGGCGGCUCACUGGCCCGGUACUGACGCUGAGGUGCGAAAGCGUGGGGAGCAAACAGG